CACCCCAAAACCCGAAUGUUUAUAUUUGUCGUAUGUCCAUAUAAGACACAUCAUGAAAUAAAUAACUAGGCUAAUUAACCUAGUUAAGUAUAUGGCAAAACUAUUAAAUGGAGAGAGUUGUGCCAAAUGUGUUCUAAGUGCCAACAUGAGGGACUAAUUGGAGUAAAAUGGAAGUUGAGUUAUUAAAAUAAAAAAAUAAACACACACAACACACAAUUCGUGUGUGUUCUCGAACGUACAGGGGCUUCAAGAAGCCAAGCCCUAGUUCUUCAAAAAAAGCUUCAAAUUAAGGGAUGAUUCAAGGCUCAAAUUCAUGAAUUCUCAUGGAUUAAUGAUCACCAUCACAAGGGGAUCAUAAGGAACGUGUCAAGGAGAGCUCAAGCAUAGGAGGGUAACGGGUCAAGAUAAGGCAAGGUGACAAAUACACUUAUGGGAGUACUCAAGGUUAUGAAUGUCGGACUUUCGAAGUGUUGAUAUAAUAAUGAAACGGUUGAAUGUUGAAAGGAUAAUCGGAUUGAAGUAACUUAUGCGGUUAGAAUAUGCUAUGGACGUUUUAGUUUAUUCAACAUUUUAUGUUUGGUCGUCAUCAUCUACCAACGGGGUAAGCGCAAUUGUUGGAAGAGAUGAUCCGUGAAUGCGGUCUAGGACCGGCAUCGAGGCAAGUAAUGAAACAAAUUGACCCCAGGUACGUAAACCUAACGUAUGGGCGUAUGAAAUGGUAUGGUUAAGCAAGUGAAAUAAAAAAUUUUGAACAAAUUAUGAUAACGACAUGGUAAAUAAUUUUUGAAAAUGUUACACGAGCCGAAACUGAAUUCUUCGGACAUAAGGUGACAAUUACGCGAAGACACGAAACUAGUACGUGGAAUGUGUACCUGGCCAAUACACAAGAAACGUAUGAAGUUCGUGAGACCGUGAUAAUUAUUACAGGUAUGUCCGAUAGAGUUUGGUAGCAGCUGGGCGUGUGGGUGAAAUGGUUAGUAAGACUCUCGGGGGAUUGAGAGUACUUUGUAGGAAUGAAAUAUGUGAAUGCAAUGCUUGAAUCCGCAAGACGGAUUCAAGGAAUGAAAUAUGCGAAUGCAAUGCUUGAAUCCGCGAGACGGAUUCAAGGAAUGAAAUAUGCGAAUGCAAUGCUUGAAUCCGCGAGACGGAUUCAAGGAAUGAAAUAUGCGAAUGCAAUGCUUGAAUCCGCGAGACGGAUUCAAGGAAUGAAAUAUGCGAAUGCGAUGCUUGAAUCCGCGAGACGGAUACAAGGAAUGAAAUAUGCGAAUGCGAUGCUUGAAUCCGCGAGACGGAUUCAAGGAAUGAAAGAUACGAAUGCGAUGCUUGAAUCCGCGAGACGGAUUCAAGGAAUGAAAGAUAUGGAUGCACUGCUUGAAUCCGCGAGACGGAUUAAAGGAAUGAAAGGCAUGAAUGCAAUGUUCAAAUCCGCGAAGCGGACUUAAGGUAUAAAAAGGCGAAAACUAGUCUACAUAAGAAGGGUCAAUAGUUUGACCAUGAUUACGUCAAACAAGACAUAUAAGUAAAUGUAAUGCAAAUGAACAAAGGAAUGAUAAGAAGGAAGAUAUUCGAAUGUGAAGUGAUUACAUACCAAAACAAAUAAAUAUUCCUUAAGUGAUAUGAUCCAAAUUAUGUUUAAACUUUUGUAUAUAUAUAUACAUGAUUAUAUUUAUGUAAAUGUGUUGUAAGCAAGAAUGGUAGAAAGGAUAAAUGGGACAUACGGGUCAGAUGGCAACCGCCAUUUGAACUCGGUAGUUAAUGAUAUGAUUUGUCAAGUUUCAUGCUCAUAGGUGAGCUUGAAGAAUGGAGACGCAAUGUCACUAACCGGAAAGGAAUGAUCAUCGUAAGGUAUGGAUAACGAAUCAAUGGAAUUUACUUCCGUCAGAUGUGUAUAAAAAGAGUCAUAACUUAAAUAGGAGGUUAUGACUCGACUAGAGGCUGAUGUGUUAGAAUAGAAUAUAUAUAUAUACAAACCGUAAUGCAAAGAUGUAGAAUGACUUUCAAAAUGUUCGUAAUGAUCGUCAAGUGGUAUAGAACAUGAAUGCCUGUAACUGUGGUAAUUCUAAUAGAAUGUAAGUGAUGACAAGUACCGUUAAGAAAUACGAACCUUGAUGCUUGGCUUGUUGGCCAUGUUCAUUUGAACAAGACACUGUAGAAAAGAUACGCAUGGCAUAAAUAACGAUAGUAACCAUGGAAAUAAUGCUUAAUUUUUGUGUUAAGUAUGGAUAAGAGAGUUUAAGAAGGGUGAUUUUGAUUGUAACAAUAAGUCUUUAAAUGAUUGUAAUAUGCGUAUGAUAAUAUAUCGACCCCUCCUAUGAGCUUAAGGAUAAUCGGAAGUAACGAUAGUAAGGGAAUGUUUAGGAUGGCUCAUAGUGAACAAAAUGAAAGAUAUCAUAUGAUGUAUGAGUAGAAUGAAAUAAACCGACUUAUUUCAAUUAGUAAAUAUACAAAUGUAAUAUGCUUAAAUAGGAUGUUAGAAACAAGCCAUAGACUUAGUAUGUAUGGUUAAUAACUGCAUACAAUUGGAAUAAAUUCGAUGAAUAAAAUGCUAGGGAUAAUAUGUGCUAGAAACUAGCAAUAUGAAGUGAAAGACACUAAUAAGAGCUCUGGAGCAGAAUCUAACAUAAGUAUUGUGAAUGAACAACUUGAAAGGGGUAAGAGUAGAAUUGGUUUAAUUUUAAAUGAAAAAGGUUUCGGGGACGAAACCUUAUUUAAGAGGGGUAGACUUGUAACACCCCAAAACCCGAAUGUUUAUAUUUGUCGUAUGUCCAUAUAAGACACAUCAUGAAAUAAAUAACUAGGCUAAUUAACCUACUUAAGUAUAUGGCAAAACUAUUAAAUGGAGAGAGUUAUGCCAAAUGUGUUCUAAGUGCCAACAUGAGGGACUAAUUGGAGUAAAAUGGAAGUUGAGUUAUUAAAAUAAAAAAAAUAAACACACACAACACACAAUUCGUGUGUGUUCUCGAACGUACAGGGGCUUCAAGAAGCCAAGCCCUAGUUCUUCAAAAAAAGCUUCAAAUUAAGGGAUGAUUCAAGGCUCAAAUUCAUGAAUUCUCAUGGAUUAAUGAUCACCAUCACAAGGGGAUCAUAAGGAACGUGUCAAGGAGAGCUCAAGCAUAGGAGGAUAACGGGUCAAGAUAAGGCAAGGUGACAAAUACACUUAUUGGAGUACUCAAGUGCAGGUUAUGAAUGUCGGACUUUCGAAGUGUUGAUAUAAUAAUGAAACGGUUGAAUGUUGAAAGGAUAAUCGGAUUGAAGUAACUUAUGCGGUUAGAAUAUGCUAUGGACGUUUUAGUUUAUACAACAUUUUAUGUUUGGUCGUCAUCAUCUACCAACGGGUAAAUCCUCAAUUCAGGCGACUUGGAGAAUCGGAGCGAGCGCGUGUUCAUGUUAUGUCAUACCAAACGCUUCCGCUAGCUUGUUCAAAUGUUUUUGAACCAAAAUUUGUUGUAUUGGUUUUUAGUAGUAUCUUGUUGAAUGAAUUGUAGAAUUGUAUCUAGUUUGUUUAUGUUUAAAACAGGGGUAUGCUCGUUUUAUGGACGGGUCAUGCCCGAUUUUUGUUAAAUUAUAGUAUGAUAAUAUCACAUUUAGGAAGAUGAAAUUUUGGGCGUAA